AAAUGAUUGUUUUCUUAUUCUGAUUUUUUUUCUAGCUGUAAUAGCAUAGUUAUGAUACCACAAGUUUUUUUUUAAUAUUUAUGAUUUGAUAUAUUCAAAUGAAUACUAAAUAUUAACAUUUGUUUUGAUUAGAAUUACAAAUGUUCAAAUUUUUUGGAUCAAUUCAAAUAACAAAAUUAAUUAAUUUUUUUUUGAAAAGAAAACAAAAUAAAUUAAAUUUCGUCUAUGUUUUGUCUAUCCUUACUUAAUAAUUAAUAAGUACCAAACACGUAGUAAACUCAAAACGAAAAUUUGGGGGGUUAUUAGAGAAGAGAAGUUCCAUGAAGUAAAAGGAAAGAGAAGCGUGUUGUUGUGUUGGUCGAAGAAGAUUGAUAGUUAAAAAAAGGUGGAAUAUCUGUGAGUGAUUGAGAAGAGACACGUGAUUUAGUGACAUCAUUUAACGUUAGCUGUCUCAUUAAGGACAUACGUGUGCACAUCAACUUCCACCUCCAUAUCCACCUGCACCUGACCAGCUGCACUUCUUUUCCCGUUUCCUCUUCACUUCUCCCAUGUGCUCCCCUUUCCCCUCUUCUUCUUCUCUCUAUAUAUCAUUUUAAAAAUAAAUAACAAUGGGCCUUAGAGAGACAUGAUGAGCCGUAUAACCAAUAGUAGAUCUGGGGGUUCAUCUGUGGGAUUCAAAUUGGAUAUUUCAAAUUUUGGUCUAAUUCGUAACCCAUCCUAAAUAUAGUAAAUUAAUAAAUAUUGAUCGGGUUUAAAUAUAACAUACGGUUUCAGUCUAAUUUAUAUAACAUCCUAGAAUUCAUAAAGUAAUUAUAUAUUGUUCAGAUUCAGAUUAUAUCGAAUCGGUUUGGAUAAUCCGAAAUAAAAUUUAAAAGCAAAAAAAAAAUAUUUAUUUACAUAAAAUUAGGUAUUUAAGGUAUUUAUUUAAAUUUUAAAUAUUUCUUUGGAUAUCGUAUCAAAAUAAAUAUGAAAUUGAAUAUUUGAAAUACAUAUUUAUGUUUCAAAUAAUAUUUCUAUAGCAUACUAAUUUAGACAUUCGGAUCUAGUUUUUGGUUUUUUAUUUCGAAUUUUUUUUUUCAAGCUACUCAUUCGGAUUUGAUUCGGUUAAUAACACUUCGAGUUUGGAUAUAUUUUGUAACACCUUAUAAAAUUCAUUCAUGUGUUUUUUUUUUAAUUUCGAACCGGAUACAGAUCGAGUUUUUUUGUUUGGGUUCGGUUUAGGUUUCAGAUUAAUAUGCCCGGCCUAACCAAUAUGUUUAACUACAAAUCUAUUCAAGUGGAAGGAGUAAGCAAAAAACGAGGGGGAGUGGUCAAGAAGACCAACCCUACUUUAACUCUUUACCAAGACAUAGGGGAGUCACAGAAACUUCACACGUGUAAAUUUGUCACGUUUUCUUUUUAGUGUUUUGUCUGAGAAUAACCAAACUUCGGCUUACUCAUCACUACAAAUUUAACGAAUUAUUGUUUUUCUGUCUUGUGUAUAUACUAUAUAGAGUCACACUAAAAUUCAGACUUCAGAUUAACAAACGAUCAAUUUUAAAUAAGGGACUAGCUGCUCUUUUAAUUUAGAGAGGAAAAAGGGAGAAAAUAUGCAUCAUCAUUCGGAGACGACGACGACAAUAAAUCAACCACUUUGUCCUAAGCCACGUCGUGUGUGUCCUUCUCUUCCUGAUUUUCUCAAGCCUGUCUCAUGUUCACUACACUCUUCGAACUGUCAACAAAGUUCGGAGGGAAGAAGCGGCGUUAUCAACAUAAUCGAUAAGGUUCAGCCGGUAGAAGGUGGAAUAGAGUGGUACGUUGGGUCUCCACCUAAGAGAACCGGGAAUCCUCUUGUCCACGACCUUCAUUUCGUUCACUGCCAUGACCUUCUCCCCAAUUUCCCAAGCACCAAGGCUUGAUCUUCACAUCUUCGUUGACGAUUCAUGCAUACACAACCGUACAAACAAAACAAACAAAGAGAAAAGAAAAGAAAAACUUUCACAUAAAAUGCCAUAUCGAUCGAUCUCGGGGUACAACAUUAACCUCAUCACCUAAACGGGUUUCUUAUACAGAUAUGCACCAACAAGUUUGGAGUUUAUUUUUUGAAGAAUUGUAUUAGAUUUUCUUGAUCACCAAGAGUACACACUGAGGUCAGCACAAUUAAUACUGCUUACUCAAUCAGCACCCACUUCCUGAGUACACACUGAACGCAUAGACUUAAAUAGAACGGUUAAAUACAUAUAUGUAUUAGAGCUUGGAUCUUUUCUCUGUAAUAUGUAAAUUUUCUCUUUUUAGUUUGGAUGACUUGUUUUGUAUCUGCCUUGUGUUUCCUUAAUUUCUAAACUUCUUGUGAUUAUCUUUAGUUUGUUAUGCCUUGUAUGGUGAUCUUAUUGGAGCGAAUGUUUGAGACAUUCCAAUACUUAAAUAGAGCUUCGUUUCUCAAAAGACAAACAAGUGACCAUGGUUGUGUUUAUGGAGAUCAGAGCGAGUACUCUUAUAUUAUCUCCCCUGUUACAAGAAUGUAUAUUUUUAUUUUUUUAAUGUCUCGGACAUGUCAAAUGCCUGCGGCAAAUGCAGCAAGAGAUGCAUUGCCACAAACAUGAUUUAGAGAGAUACUGGAUCCAGUAAGUAGCUAAUGAGAUUGAUACCAAAAGGGUAUACUGUGAUGAGCCGGAUGGCUGCGUGUGGGACCUAAAGUGUAUUAGGGAUAAAUGUCCCACAUCGGAUAUUGGAAGGGAUCCUAAGCAAUAUAUAAGAUAGAUGGGUCACUCCACUUAAUACCAAUUGGUUUUAGGUUGGAAGUCCAUCUAGCUUAACAUGGUAUCAGAGCCCGAUCCACGCAGUCCAAUCCGAUCCUCAGUCUCGCCGUCAUGAACAACUGGCCGUUGCGUCAACUUGACUUCAACAACGCCUUCUUACAAGGCAAUCUCAAUGAGGAUGUUUAUAUGGAGCAGCCACAAGGCUUUGUCGACAAAGAUAAACCAGAUUACGUAUGCAAACUGAACAAAGCCAUCUACGGUCUUAAACAAGCACCGCGUGUAUGGUACUUAGAGCUCCGUCAGUUCCUUCUCCAGUCUGGCUUCAAGAACUCAGUCGCAGAUGCUUCUCUCUUCAUUCUUAUUGUCGGUAAAAUAACUCUCUAUGUCCUCAUUUAUGUUGAUGAUAUC